GACGGAGGGUGCUAGCGUUGUUCGGAAUCACUGGGCGUAAAGGGCGCGCAGGCGGCCGCCCGCGUCGGACGUGAAAGCCCGGGGCUCAACCCCGGAACGGCGUCCGAUACGGGGCGGCUCGAGGCCGGGAGAGGGGGGUGGAAUACCCAGUGUAGAGGUGAAAUUCGUAGAUAUUGGGAGGAACACCUGUGGCGAAAGCGGCUCACUGGACCACAACUGACGCUGAGGCGCGAAAGCUAGGGGAGCAAACAGG
rnacentral:rRNA from 1 species